rnacentral:rRNA from 1 species
UACGUAGGGGGCAAGCGUUGUUCGGAAUUACUGGGCGUAAAGGCGCGUAGGCGGCCUGCUAAGUCGGACGUGAAAUCCCUCGGCUCAACCGGGGAACUGCGUCCGAUACUGGCGAGGCUUGAUCCGGGAGAGGGAUGUGGAAUCCAGGUGUAGCGGUGAAAUGCGUAGAUAUCGAGAGGAACACCUGCGGCGAAGGCGGGUGCUGGGCUGACCACUGACGCUGACAGCGCGAAGCUAGGGGGGGAGCGAACGGG